AACUUAAACUACAUGUAUAAGUCAAAAAUUGGAAGAAAGCAAUCAUUCUUUCAUCUUUUCCUCUCAAAACCCGAAUGUAAGAAAGGAGAAAAUCCUUCGUCACGUUCAAGCUUUGGCCCCUGGUAUUUUGGAUGCGUACAAAUGCUAGUGUUGCCAAUGUCAACGGUGACACCCAAAAAUAUAAUUUUUUAAUCCCUGUCUCCAAUGAUUGGAUGAAAAUGAUAGGUGGUGACACCAAUGGCAACAGCGUCACCAACCUUUACUAUUCAAAACGGGUCAUUUGCGUACAUGAUUUUUAAAGUGGGUUAUUUUUGUAAAUAAUCAAAACUUUUGAGGUUAUUUUUAUAUAAAAAAGUCAUCAAUUUAGAGUUUCCA